CCUACGGGUGGCAGCAGUGGGGAAUAUUGCACAAUGGGGGAAACCCUGAUGCAGCGACGCCGCGUGAGCGAUGAAGUAUUUCGGUAUGUAAAGCUCUAUCAGCAGGGAAGAAAAUGACGGUACCUGACUAAGAAGCCCCGGCUAACUACGUUCCAGCAGCCGCGGUAAUACGUAGGGGGCAAGCGUUAUCCGGAUUUACUGGGUGUAAAGGGAGCGUAGACGGCUGUGCAAGCCAGAUGUGAAAGUCCGGGGCUCAACCCCGGGAUUGCAUUUGGAACUGUGUGGCUGGAGUUUCGGAGAGGCAGGCGGAAUUACUAGUGUAGCGGUGAAAUGCGUAGAUAUUAGGAGGAACACCAGUGGCGAAGGCGGCCUGCUGGACGAUGACUGACGUUGAGGCUCGAAAGCGUGGGGAGCAAACAGGAUUAGAUACCCGGGUAGUC
rnacentral:rRNA from 1 species